GACGAACGCUGGCGGCGUGCUUAACACAUGCAAGUCGAACGGAAAGGCCUGCUUUCCCUUGUGGAUUGCGGGUACUCGAGUGUCGAACGGGUUAGUAACACGUGAGUGAUCUGCCCCCAACUUGGGUAUAAGCCUGGGAAACUGGGUCUAAUUCCCGAUAGGACUGCAGGGUGGUGCCUGUGGUGGAAAACGAUUUUCUAGUGGUUGGGGAUGAGCUCGCGGCCUAUCAGCUUGUUGGUGGGGUAAUGUCCUACCAAGGCGGCGACGGGUAGCCGGACUGAGAGAGUGGACGGCCACAUUGGGACGGAGAUACGGCCCAGACUACUACGGGAGGCAGGAGUGGGGAAUAUUGCACAAUGGGCGGAAGCCUGAUGCAGCGACGCCGCGUGGGGGAGUAAGGCCUUCGGGAUGUAAACUACUGUAGACCGCGAGGAAGCCACGUGGUUGGAAGGGUGGUGACGGUAGUGGUAGAAGAAGCACCGGCUAAAUACGUG
rnacentral:rRNA from 1 species